GGUGAACGCUGGCGGUGCGCCUAAUACAUGCAAGUCGAACGAGAAACUGGAUUUAUUCAGUGGAAAGUGGCGGACGAGCGAGUAACACGUAAGUAGUUGCCCCGUACUCAGGGAUAACAUGGCGAAAGUCAUGCUAAUACCGGAUGGUCUCGUAAGAGUAAAGCUUUUGCGGUACGGGAGACGCUUGCGGCUUAUCAGUUUGUUGGUGGGGUAACGGCCUACCAAGACUAUGACGAGUAGCUGAUGUGAGAGCAUGAUCAGCCGCGAUGGGACUGAGACACGGCCCAUACUCCUACGGGAGGCAGCAGUAAGGAAUCUUCCGCAAUGGGCGAAAGCCUGACGGAGCGACACCGCGUGAAGGAUGAAGGCCCUAGGGUCGUAAACUUCUUUUCUGAGGGAAGAAAAUCUGACGGUACCUCAGGAAUAAGCCCCGGCUAAUUACG
rnacentral:rRNA from 1 species